GGUGGCUGUUACAUUUCUUUUUCCGAGUACAGGAAGCUCGUCACUCGCUUGGAAUAUUCCGUGGAGACAUUCAGCAUACGUCAUCAUUUUGAAAACGAUAGCACUAAAUGUUGAAAAAAUGGUCAAUUUCAAUUACUGGAUGCGUGUAAAA